rnacentral:rRNA from 1 species
UACAGAGGUCUCAAGCGUUGUUCGGAUUCAUUGGGCGUAAAGAGCUCGUAGGCGGUCUGUCACGUCGGAUGUGAAAACUCGGGGCUCAACCCCGAGCCUGCAUACGAUACGGGCAGACUUGAGUUCGGCAGGGGAGACUGGAAUUCCUGGUGUAGCGGUGAAAUGCGCAGAUAUCAGGAGGAACACCGGUGGCGAAGGCGGGUCUCUGGGCCGAUACUGACGCUGAGGAGCGAAAGCGUGGGGAGCGAACAGG